AAGCCCGCAGGGAACCCUGAGAGCGGGACCCGUGCCAGCAGGGCACAUGCAUCCGGCCCAACGGGGCCAGCCGAGGCAGCAGCGUUAACUGCAGCAGUUGCCGGGAGAGCGGCGCUGAUAGCAGCACCGGCAGUGGCAGAGAGAGCCGCCGCGUUAAAGGAGCCGGGGGAGAGAACUGCGGCUAUAGCAUAAGUGCUCUCUUAAAGGAGCCGCGGAUAAAAAGAUAGAGGACGUCGGCAGCAUGACGGGAGGAGGAACUGGCUACUGUCGUAGCAGGAGUGCGGGUGGCGGAACCGGUGAGGUAACCGAGCGCGGACCCCGCGAGAGAAGUGACAGACAGGCCGGCGGGGAGCCGGCAGUGGACUCAGCGAGGGAGAGAACGCCAGGAACAAGACUCCCAGAGAGAGGGAGCCACAAGCCCAGGGAGUAGGCACCCGGAGAAGUCGGUGGCCUUAAGCCUCCUGACAGGCCGGUAGCCAGGGGGAGCUCAUCGGUCGGGGCUUAGGCACCCGGGUCAGAGCCCGGGCUGGUGUGAUAGGAAUUGGAUUUUUAGUUUUAGUAUUCGCUUCCUUUUGGGGGCUAGCUCGUGGCUGUAGUGUUGCGGAGGCCCCGGGACCAUACGGGCUAGGGGCGGCCGAGAAACCAAGAGGGGUGAGACCCCUAGACAGAUUUUAGCCUGGGCAGUUUGGAUCCCCGAAAUAAGGACCACCGGGAGAUUCAGGACCGGAAACGCAGCGGGGCCGCCUGAGGAAGGCCACUAGAAGACCAGCAGCAGCAGGUGGCGAUUGGCCGGGGUGUAGGGGAGGUCAGAGCCCCGUGAGUGCCCGCCGAAGGCGCAACGACCCCGGGAGGCAGCAUUAACGGAGACCCCCACCACUGAGGUUACAUUCAAAGUCGUGGUAGGCGAGGUUAGGGGGCCUCCCGUCACCACCCGAGGCACCUCCCGGGGCCCUCUCGUGAGCUCGUGGCCAGUGAGAAUGGCCACCUGGGCUAGAGCAGCCCGGGAGCGCCUGGUUGAGCAGAGGCGGGCACACUGCUAAAAGUGUAAUGUCUGUGCCUGGCCUGUGAACAGGCCAGGCACAGACAUUACUGCCUGUGAACUAUAAAGAACAUGAGCUGACAAUACUGCCUGUGAACUAUAAAGAACAUGAGCUGGGGUUUGAGAUGGUACUGAGAAAACUUUAAAUGAUUAGUUAUGAGUAAAAUUUAUUAUGAUACAAUGUAAAAUUAGAUGGCAUUCUUAGUUUUAAAGUUAUUAGGACAAGUCACAAGUUUACUAUGAUUAGCUCUUCAAUAUUUUUAUUGGUAAAAAGUCUAGAGAAUUUUACAGCAUGCUUUCUGGAAGUUAUAAAAUUCAGUAGCAAGUAUAAAGAACAGGAAUAUAUGCCCCAAAACAGAUUUAAAAAACCACUCCCCCAUCAUAUUUAAACUAAAACCAUAUACACAACAACACACUUUGCAAUACAAAAUGACUUGUACAUUUUGUGUGUGUUAUAAUAUAUAUAUACUGUUAUAUUCAUUCCAUAUAUUUUAUUUAUUUAAUUGUUUUUGUUCAUCAAAAGAACACUUAUAAUGACUGUGAGUCUUAGGUCCAGGGGGAAUGUGAGCAGCCUUUCCAGCAUGGAUUCCACUCAUACCCAGUUCUUUGUAUUUCUGGAAGAUCAUCUGAUUGCAGGCAGUCUAGUAAAAAUAAGGGUAAUUAGGUGAUGACCACCAUGCCCUACAGCUGGGAGAUCACUCACUGAAAUUGACUGGAUAAGGCUGAUCCUUUGGAACAUUUAGACUUUCUUAAUUAGCCCCAAAACCAGAGAAUUUGCUUCCGAGGCAAAGCAAAUAAAAAUAAUCCCUCUAAAAGCAAAUGCCAAGUGGAAGUAAAAUGGUUCUCCUGCCCUCAUAAACAGAUCCAGGGGGGUGAUGGGAGCAGCAACCAACACUUCAGGUCUGGCUGUACCCCUGCUUCCAGCCUCCCCACUGCCACCUCUGUGGACAGACAGUGUUGUGGGAGCAGCAGCUGAGGACUUUUUAAAGUGCCUGAAGCAGUAGCAUAAUAAACUAGGUUCAUCGGAGGAAGAGGAAGAUGAGGGCAGAAGAAGCCUUGGACCACGAAACCAAGUGUCACCCACAAGAACAGCCCAGCCUAGACAAACAAUGAGCAGAACAAAUACCCAGAUGCCUUUAACAAAGUUAACCUAAAAAUGACCCGUAAGCAAACAUCCCACAUUCUGAGAAAUCAAACCCUAGGAGCCUUUGAAAAGAUUGGAAAGAAAGGAAAUUCCCCAAAGUAACUAAAUUGUCAACAAAAGAAACUGAACCCAGCAGAAAUCUGUUAAGUAAGAUCCGAGCCCAAAUUUGGGAAUAGUGACAGGUUUGGGUAGGAGUGGCCCAAGACGGCAACUCACUCAAUAAAAACUGUAACCUACUGUCCCAAUUUGGAGGUAACCUCACUUGCAGAACAAUGAGGGAAGAAUCGCAAGUGUAGGCCGGAUCAGACUGAUCACCUGAACCACCCUCUCCGUGAACACGAAUUUCUUAGUUCACACUGAAGCCACGGAGCGCCCGAAAGGGACUGAAGGAAGGGGACUUAGUCCUAUCAACACUGAGGCCAGCCCACUGAACCGUAUUGCUGAGGCCAGCCCAUUGAACUGUACUACUGAGGCCAACCCAUUAAAUUGUACUACUGAGGAAUGAAACCAUAUUUAGGUGUUUGGCUUCUUGGAAUUCUAGGAUUGUAAGUAUAUUAUAAAAAAAAAAAAAAAAAUAGUAUUGAUUCAAAUUUAACUUUGAGUUGUAAUUGUAGUUGUUUUUGUAAUACUAAUUCUUAUAGGAUUGUUUGGGAAGGAAGUGCAUCUGGAGCAUUGUUUCUGAUAUAUGUAGUUAUUGUGUUCUUAAAGUUUGUGGUAUUUCUUAAAGCUAAGCAGUGUUAUAUGCGUAGUAAAGAAUUUUAAAAUAAAAUUGUGUUGUAUGAAUUAAGUUUGUAAUCGUUGUGAAAUCGUGCAAACAACUAGAUACUCCCCCAGCAAGUGCAUCAAAUGAAUCAGUAAAUUGCGUGGGAUUUUCUGUAUUCCAUAACUCACUAGAGACAAGCAGAGCUAGGGAGCAAGCCAGGUUGAGAAGCCAGGAGAUUGUUUUGCUGCUCAAUCUGGGAUUAGUUGAUCCCCAUUUUCCAGACACUUCCUGUUCCUGCUCAGGAGCUUAUACAGAAGUGUGACAGGCCCUUGCCCUGCCACCUGGACCACCCCUGAGCUUACUUCCCACCCCCCCCCCCAACACACACACAACUUUGGAACUUAUCCAUAUCUCUGUGAUGUUGCAUAGUGGUUCUUACAGGCUCAAGGACACCCUCCUUGGUGUAUCUUCUGUGGGGCUCCUCCUCCACUACACCCCGCCCUUUUCCACUUGGGUGUUACUGUAGAUCCCAGGCUGUGCCUUGAUAUCAUUGCAGGCAGUUUGAUUCACCGAUGGGACGAUGCUCCAGUGUCACGGGAGCUUGUUGUGACCUGCUACACUUGGAGAAAAAUGCUAACACAAAUGAAAAACAUCUUAAGUCGACGUGGCACUGUUACCCACAUGCUGAGCUACUUGCACCCGAGCAUUGGGCUUAAGGGUUUGCUUCCUUGAUCCUUCAUUUCCCCCUUUUUUAUCUGGUACCUUUUUCCCCAGGGCUUUUUCUUACUUCCCCUUGGCCAGGUAUCCCAGGGGCUCUUCAUGUUCCCUGCUGGGUCUGCUUAUGGCCAGAAGUGGUGGGUGUUCCCUAAUUCAUAAAUUCAUAGAUGUUAGGGUCAGAAGGGACCUCAAUAGAUCAUCGAGUCCGACCCCCUGCAUAGGCAGGAAAGAGUGCUGGGUCUAGAUGACCCCAGCUAGAUGCUUAUCUAACCUCCUCUUGAAGACCCCAAGGGUAGGGGAGAGCACCACCUCCCUUGGGAGCCCGUUCCAGACCUUGGCCACUCGAACUGUGAAGAAGUUUUUCCUAAUGUCCAAUCUAAAUCUGCUCUCUGCUAGCUUGUGGCCAUUAUUUUUGUAACCCCCGGGGGCGCCUUGGUGAAUAAAAACUCACCAAUUCCCUUCUGUGCCCCCGUGAUGAACUUAUAGGCGGCCACAAGGUCGCCUCUCAACCUUCUCUUGCGGAGGCUGAAAAGGUCCAGUUUCUCUAGUCUCUCCUCGUAGGGCUUGGUCUGCAGGCCCUUGACCAUACGAGUGGCCCUUCUCUGGACCCUCUCCAGGUUAUCUGCAUCCCUCUUGAAGUGCGGCGCCCAGAAUUGCAUGCAGUACUCCAGCUGCAGUCUGACCAGCACCCAAUAGAGGGGAAGUAUCACCUCCUUGGAUCUAUUCGUCAUGCAUCUGCUGAUGCACGAUAAAGUGCCAUU